rnacentral:rRNA from 1 species
UUCCAGACUCCUACGGGAGGCAGCCGUGGGGAAUAUUGCGCAAUGGGCGAACUCCUGACGCAGCGCCUCCUCGUGAGGGCUGCAGGUCUUCGGAUCGUCCACCUCUGUCAUCCUGGAAGAACGGUCCCUGUGCUACUCCUCCGUGAAUUUCCUUUCCCUGCAACUUCUUCACCGGCUCCCUCCUUGCCAGCCUCCGCGGUAAUACUGCGUUUGCGAGCGUUAAUCGGAAUUACUGGGCGUAAAGCGCUCGUAGGCGGUAGGUCAAGUCAAGGGGGAAAUCCCCGCGAGCAACGUGGGAACUGCCUUUGAAACUGGCAAACUGGAGUGUGUUAGAGGAUAGUGGAAUGCCAGGUGUAGGAGUGAAAUCCGUAGAGAGAGGGAGGAACAGCAGUGGCGAAGGCGACUAUCUGGCACAUAACUGACGCUGAGGAGCGAAAGCGUGGGGAGCAAACAGGAUUAGAUACCCCGGUA